UCUCUGAAGUUAUCCAGUCCAAACUCGAAAAGACGGAGAAACUAGUUGCUCUCGCAGUCGGAGAGUCUCAGCUUCCCAGAGCUCCGUUUUCUGUUCAGACUUCAGCCAUAUAAAUCUCGAGCUCUCGUUCUUACCUUUGGAAAAUGAAGUUUCUGGAUUGGUAUUUGAAGAUCGCAUUCGGGUCGGCUCUGAUUGGAGCUUCCAUGGAAUUUUUCAUGAUCAAGACCGGCUUCUGUAUGACAAAGUAACUGUUCUUGAAUCAGAGAAACGGGCUUAUGAAAAUUCGCCAGAGGCCCAAGCUAUCAGGGAAGCUCUCAAUCCGUGGAGAAAUCGUGAUGCAGAAGCAAGCAAGGAAUCCUAAGUUGGCUGGCUGCAUGUUCACAAGGAAGAAGAUAACAGUAUUAGCAGGACAUCAAUCUGGGAAAUAUUGUGAAAGAUGACAUUGUUUCUUCUAGUUGAACAACGUGAGAGGCGACCGUGGUCAUCCCGAAAAUUAUUUCAUUCCUCUUAUUUAUGUAGCUUAUCGUUCUUGUCCUGGGGAACAAGAUCAACAGUUUUUAAAGUAUGUAUGUAGCCAUUUUGGUUGGUUCUUCUAGUACGCAUCUAUAGUUACGAAUGAAUACGCUUGAGAAAAAUUCAUGUCACUCUUGCCUCAGUCUCUUCGCUCUUU
rnacentral:sRNA from 1 species